UUGACCUCGGAUCAGGUAGGACUACCCGCUGAACUUAAGCAUAUCAAUAAGCGGAGGAAAAGAAACCAACAGGGAUUGCCCCAGUAACGGCGAGUGAAGCGGCAACAGCUCAAAUUUGAAAUCUGGCCCCCGGGCCCGAGUUGUAAUUUGGAGAGGAUGCUUCUGGCGCGGCGCCGUCCGAGUUCCUUGAACAGGACGCCACAGAGGGUGAGAGCCCCGUACGGACGGACGCCUGGCCUUUGCGAAGCUCCUUCGACGAGUCGAGUAGUUUGGGAAUGCUGCUCAAAAUGGGAGGUAAAUUUCUUCUAAAGCUAAAUACCGGCCAGAGACCGAUAGCGCACAAGUAGAGUGAUCGAAAGAUGAAAAGCACUUUGAAAAGAGGGUUAAACAGUACGUGAAAUUGUUGAAAGGGAAG
rnacentral:rRNA from 1 species